rnacentral:lncRNA from 1 species
CUAGGGCACAGGCAUGGAGGAAGGCCGUGGAAAGGCUCAGGGAGAAGACGACCUUCUGCAAGCCAAGGAGAGAGACCUUAGGGGAAAACAUCUGCUAACAUCUCCAUCGCAGACUUUCAGCCGCCAGAACUGGCUGCUCAGAUCCCAUUAUGGAUGGUCUGUGGAGUAGUUGAGACAGAGUUAUUGGACAGGUAAGAUUAUUUCUACUUUUUUCUAUUAUAUGUAAC